CCUACGGGUGACAGCAGUGAGGAAUAUUGGUCAAUGGACGCAAGGCUGAACCAGCCAUGCCGCGUGAAGGACGACUGCCCUAUGAGUUGUAAACUGCUUUUGUACGGGGAUAAAUCCCGAUACGUGUAUCGGGUUGCCAGUAUCUUACGAAUAAGCAUCGGCUAACUCCGUGCCAGCAGCCGCGGUAAUACGGAGGAUUCAAGCGUUAUCCGGAUUUAUUGGGUUUAAAGGGUGCGUAGGCGGUUCGAUAAGUUAGUGGGGAAAUCGCGGGGCUCAACCCCGGAUCUGCCUUUGAUACUGUCGGGCUAGAGUUCAGACGCGGUAGGCGGAAUGUAUGGAGUAGCGGUGAAAUGCAUAGAGAUCAUACAGAACACCGAUAGCGAAGGCAGCUUACCAGACUACGACUGACGUUGAGGCACGAAAGCGUGGGGAGCAAACAGGAUUAGAUACCCUGGUAGUC
rnacentral:rRNA from 1 species